ensembl:lncRNA
AUUAUAAGUGAAAUAAUCUGUCUGUAACAAAUUGUUGGAAAAAUUACUUCUGUCAUGCACAAAGUAGAUUUCCAAAACUAUAGUUUGUUAACAAGAAAUUUGUGGAGUGGUUGAAACAACAGUUUUAAUGACUCCAACCUAAGUGUAUGUUAACUUCUGACUUCGACUGUAACCUGAUCCCUGCAGGUACCGAAGCUACAGCUUUGAGCUACAGAGGCCGUCAAGAGUAAGGAAGAUGCUGAAGUCAAACGUCAGAACAAGACAGCAGACAUGGUUGCCGUGACGGAAAGCACAAGGUUAAGUUCUCUGUUGGCAUCAGAUCCACUAUGACGAAAUGGUUGACGAGAAAGAUGCAGAGCUUGAUGAUAAGAAGAGAGAAGACAUGGAGGCAGCUGCUAAUAGAACAUCACUGGAAUUGGAUCUGUCACAGCAGAACAUGGAAAAUGGCCAUUUGAAGGAACAACUGGAGAAAGAAAUGAAGGAGAGGGUAAGUCCCCUGCCAUCCACCAUGCUGACAAAGGUGUGUCAAGUGACAAAUGUUGUCUAUUGACUCAGUCGUGAUGUCAUGUUGUGUUGUAGGAAAGCUGACUACAGGAGAUUACAGGUCUGGAAAAAGAGACGGCAUGUCAGAAAAUGAGCAGGCAACUGCAGACACAGGAUAACCAGGAAAUGGAAAGCAAAGCCCCAAGAACUCCGUCUUGGAGCUCCAUAACAACAGUUAUAGCAACACCGCAAAUUAAGGUAUUGGAAUCCGUUGAUUAUACUGUGUGGUGUUUUUAUAAUGUAGGCUAUUCCAUCAUCAAUGGAUGUGGUGUUGGUAUGUUGUAUGAUCACUGUAGAAUUUAUUAGAUUAACUGGAGUGGUAUGUUUGAUGUGUCAAAGGAAAGCAAAGCUCUCAAAACUCCAUCUUGGCGUUCCCCAGUACAGCUGGCGCAACACCACGGAUUAAGGUGGGGAUAGAUUUUUUUAUGUGAAGUAUUCACUGUGUUUACUUUGUUGACCGUGACACGUGUACCAUUCCCCCAGAGGAUUCUCUCCAUCCUAUUUCUCUGUGAUUGAGUGAUUUUCUCCACAGUCUUACAGAAUCAGAACUCCUCCGUCCGCUGGGAAGUCUGUGCCCUGGGGGAAGAGUACCCUGGAGCUUGACCUGGGGGAAGAGUACCCUGGAUCUUGACCUGGGGGAGAGUACCCUGGAGCUUGACCUGGGGGAAGAGUACCCUGGAGCUUGACCUGGAGGAAGAGCACACUGGAGCUUGACCUGGGGGGAGAGCACACUGGAGCUUGACUGAGAAGAGCACACU